rnacentral:rRNA from 1 species
UAAUACCGGAUAUGACCAUGCUCGGCAUCGGGUGUGGUGGAAAGUUUUUCGGUCCAGGGAUGUGCUCGCGGCCUAUCAGCUUGUUGGUGGGGUAAUGGCCUACCAAGGCUUCGACGGGUAGCCGGCCUGAGAGGGUGACCGGCCACACUGGGACUGAGACACGGCCCAGACUCCUACGGGAGGCAGCAGUGGGGAAUAUUGGACAAUGGGCGGAAGCCUGAUCCAGCAACGCCGCGUGAGGGAUGACGGCCUUCGGGUUGUAAACCUCUUUCAGUACCGACGAAGCGCCGAUGAUGGUGGUGACGGUAGGUACAGAAGAAGCACCGGCCAACUACGUG